UCUAGGUGCUGCUGUAGGCCCUCCUUGGUUGGUGACAGAUCUAGGUGCUGCUGGAGGCUUUCCUUGUUUGGUGACAGAUCUAGGUGCUGCUGUAGGCCCUCCUUGGUUGGGGACAGAUCUAGGUGCUGCUGUAGGCCCUCCUUGGUUGGGGACAGAUCUAGGUGCUGCUGUAGGCCCUCCUUGGUUGGGGACAGAUCUAGGUGCUGCUGUAGGCCCUCCUUGGUUGGGGACAGAUCUAGGUGCUGCUGUAGGCCCUCCUUGGUUGGUGACAGAUCUAGGUGCUGCUGGAGGCCCUCCUUGGUUGGUGACAGAUCUAGGUGCUGCUGUAGGCUUUCCUUGGUUGGUGACAGAUCUAGGUGCUGCUGUAGGCCCUCCUUGGUUGGUGACAGAUCUAGGUGCUGCUGUAGGCUUUCCUUGGUUGGUGACAGAUCUAGGUGCUGCUGUAGGCCCUCCUUGGUUGGUGACAGAUCUAGGUGCUGCUGUAGGCUUUCCUUGGUUGGUGACAGAUCUAGGUGCUGCUGUAGGCUUUCCUUGGUUGGGGACAGAUCUAGGUGCUGCUGUAGGCCCUCCUUGGUUGGGGACAGAUCUAGGUGCUGCUGUAGGCCCUCCUUGGUUGGGGACAGAUCUAGGUGCUGCUGUAGGCUUUCCUUGGUUGGGGACAGAUCUAGGUGCUGCUGUAGGCUUUCCUUGGUUGGUGACAGAUCUAGGUGCUGCUGUAGGCUUUCCUUGGUUGGGGACAGAUCUAGGUGCUGCUGUAGGCCCUCCUUGGUUGGGGACAGAUCUAGGUGCUGCUGUAGGCCCUCCUUGGUUGGGGACAGAUCUAGGUGCUGCUGUAGGCCCUCCUUGGUUGGGGACAGAAGCACCAGAUCAACAGCAGACAUUUGACUUCAGAUUCUAAUAGGGUGAGGCCGGGUGCUGCAGACUGGCGAGGGCACUAGAUGUUAUAUAUGUUGAAGACGGUGGGGCUUAAGCUGCAUCCCUGUCUCACCCCCCGACCCUGUGGAAGGAAAUGUGUGUGUGUUGCCAUAGUGAAGGCGUAGACUCAGGUUUUAUGGGUCUCUAUGUUUUUGGUUGGACACAUUUCUCAAUUUCUUUCGUAGGUUUUUGCGAUCUAUUUGUCAUUGUUGUUAAUUUUCUUAGGUUUUCUGCCUGACAUGUUUAGAUUUGAUAGGGAAGCUGAGAGGUCAAAUAUACUGUUUAGGUUUUCUACUGCCAAGUUUACACCAUCACUAUUACAGUGGAACAUUUUGUCCAGGAAGUUGUGAUCUGAUAGGAGUGUCAGUGGACUGAUCAGGAAGACCACAGACAGGUGUAACCUGCCCUCUUCUCCUCUUUCUUUCUCUCUCUUUUUUCUCUUUCUCUCUCUUUCUCUUUCUCUCUCUUUUUCUCUCUCUCUCUCUUUUUUCUCUUUCUCUCUCUCUCUUUCUCUCUUUUUUCUCUUUCUCUCUCUUUCUUUCUCUCUCUUUCUUUCCUCUCUCUUUCUCUCUUUCUUUCUCUCUCUUUCUUUCUCUCUUUCUCUCUCUUCUUUCUCUCUCUUUCUUUCCUCUCUCUUUCUCUCUUUCUCUCUUUCUUUCUCUCUCUUUCUUUCUCUCUUUCUCUCUCUUCUUUCUCUCUUUCUCUCUCUCUUUCUCUUUCUCUCUCUUCUUUCUCUCUCUCGCUCUUUCUCUCUCUCUCUCUCUUUCUCUCCCUCUUUCUCUCUCUCUCUUUCUCUCCUUUCUCUCUCUCUCUCUCUUUCUCUCGCUCUUUCUCUCUUUCUCUCUUUCUCUUUCUCUCUCUCUCUCUCUCUCUCUCUUUCUCUCGCUCUUUCUCUCUUUCUCUCUCUCUUUCU